AGAAGAAAUAGAGAGAAUCAGGGGGACUUGUUAGUUUCUUCGGACUAGACAAUGGAAGGAGAAGGAUUCUGCAGCGAUUGGGGAGAGAUAGUUUCAGAGAAGGUUGUUUCGGCUUACAUGUCUCUCCCGAAGAAGGGAAAACCUCAGGGACGUGAAGUCACCGUCCUAUCCGCUUUCCUUGUCUCUUCUCCUUCCCAAUCCCAAAACCCGGAAGUUAUAGCGUUGGGAACGGGGACCAAGUGCGUUAGUCGGUCGCUGUUGAGUCCCCGUGGGGACAUUGUGAACGAUUCUCAUGCCGAAGUUGUCGCCAGAAGAGCUCUCAUGAGGCUCUUCUAUUCCGAGAUUCAGCGGAUGCAACUGACUUCGGAUAAUGAGGCCAAGCGACAGAGACGUGAAAGCUCAAUACUAGAGUCAGCGGACCCAAGCCGUCCUGGAGAAGUGAAAUAUAAGCUCAAAUCUGGGUGUCAAUUGCAUUUGUACAUUUCUCAAUUGCCAUGUGGUUAUGCUUCUACUAGUUCACCUUUGUAUGCCCUGAAAAAUAUUCCAUCAACACAUAUAGAUGACGCAUUGUUAGUUCGAGGCUCGUCUGGGCAUUCUGAUGUUCUAGAGAUAGGUAAUAGCAACAAAGGUAAUGGCUCACAAGUAACAGAUAUGGUGCAAAGAAAGCCUGGUCGUGGUGAAACCACACUCUCUGUUAGCUGUUCAGAUAAGAUAGCUCGAUGGAAUGUUCUUGGAGUUCAAGGGGCAUUGCUUUGCCAAGUCCUUCAGCCUGUGUAUAUUUCUACCAUCACUGUUGGACAAUCUCUGCACUUUCCUAACAGUUUUUCUUUGGCUGAUCACUUGCAAAAAUCUUUGCAUGAGAGGAUCCUUCCAUUAUCAGAUGAGCUUCUGACUUCCUUCCGUCUGAACAAGCCACUGUUUUUUGUAGCUCCAGUACCACCAUCAGAAUUUCAGCAUUCAGAAACUGAUCAAGCUACCAUAACAUGCGGGUAUUCCUUGUGUUGGAACCAUUAUGGGUUACACGAAGUUAUUCUUGGCACAACCGGUAGAAAGCAAGGUACCUCAGCUAAGGGAGCUCUGUAUCCGUCUACUCAAUCAUGUAUAUGCAAGCAGCGGUUACUCGAACUAUUCUUGAAAGAAGCACAUGGGCACGAAAGUGAAUCUUUUAAGUCAAUAAGAUCUUAUCGAGAACUGAAGGACAAAGCUACGGAAUAUUCUUUGAUGUCAAAGAUUUUUAAAGGCAAGUAUCCAUUCAACAAUUGGCUAAGAAAACCAUUGAAUUACGAAGAUUUUCUGAUAAAUUAAUCUUGAGGUGACCUGAAGCAAGUAGAUGUCUCAGUUAUCACAAAGUCUACUUUUCCAAAUCAUUAAAAGAAGCAAGGGCGAGGAGUUGUGUACCAUGCGAUGAAAAAGAUCUUGCUCUUCUGGCAAUUCUCAGGAGUGGUGAAAUCAAAGUCAUAGACAGCAUACCGGCACUCGUCCUCUGGAAUGGAUCUGGUAAAAUCGUCAACUUGAGCUUGCACUCAUCGCUUACAUGCAUCCCAGAAGCUGAAUUAGCCUGCACAAACAAAACACACGCAUAGUGAACUUAUAUGAUCACAACAUAUUACCUGAUUGAUUGGUGAUACAAUUGAUUAAAAAAAAAGUAGAAACUGAAAUGUAGGAACAUACCAUGUUUUCUGCUUGAAAUUGAAGCUGAUGAUCUGAAAGUAGAGAAGGUAGGGGGUGGUUUUAGAGGGUGAGAAGAAGGAAUAGACAAGUAGGUUCGGUUGAGUCGUUAGGCUGGUCACGUCUUAAAACCAAGAAGACUUUGAUGGUGUCACGUUGUAGCCAUAUUUACUUCAUUAGAAAUAUUAGAGGGAGUCUACAUAUUAUAUUCAAGCGUACACAUGUAUGUAUGUAAAGCACAUGUGGUGAAGUUUGUUUUUGUUCCGGGCAUCAUUGGUGAGUUGAGGAGGUUUCAUGAUGUACAUGUUUUCUUUCUUUUUAUUAAAACUUUUGGACUUUUUCUUU